CCUACGGGAGGCAGCAGUAGGGAAUAUUGCUCAAUGGGGGAAACCCUGAAGCAGCAACGCCGCGUGGAGGAUGAAGGUUUUCGGAUUGGAAACUCCUUUUGUUAGAGAAGAUAAUGACGGUAUCUAACGAAUAAGCACCGGCUAACACCGUGUCAGCAGCCGCGGUAAUACGGAGGGUGCAAGCGUUACACGGAAUCACUGGGCGUAAAGAGCGCGUAGGCGGGAUAGCAAGUCAGAUGUGAAAUCCUAUGGCUUAACCAUAGAACUGCAUUUGAAACUGUUAUUCUAGAGUAUGGGAGAGGUAGGUGGAAUGCUUGGUGUAGGGGUAAAAUCCGUAGAGAUCAAGCGGAAUACUCAUUGCGAAGGCGACCUGCUAGAACAUAACUGACGCUGAUGCGCGAAAGCGUGGGGAGCAAACAGGAUUAGAUACCCUUGUAGUC
rnacentral:rRNA from 1 species